rfam:Pongo abelii chromosome 3.
GCUGGGCGUGGUGGCGGGCGCCUGUAAUCCCAGCUACUCAGGGGGCUGAGGCAGGAGAAUUGCUUGGGCCCAGGAGGCGGAGGUUGCAGUGAACAGAGAUGGAGCCACUGAACUCCAGCCUGGGCCACAGAGUGAGAUUUCGUCUCAA